UUAAUACUGAAUACUUAAGGUUCCUCUUCGAGAGAGGUGCAAACAGGGGAAGUCGGUGAAAAUCCGACGCGGUCCCGCCACUGUAAACAAGGAGUUCUCUUCCCCUAUCCUACGCUCAAAUGCUAGGAUAGGGGAAGAGAAUGAUGAUUUGAAGUCAGGAAACCUGCCUUAUGUAAGAUCACAGA
rnacentral:ncRNA from 2 species